UAUUUUUUUUAAAUUAAAUUUUAUACCCCUAAAAACUAUAAUAAUUAUACGUACAUAAUAAAUAGAUUUAAAUCUACUUAAUAAAUAUAUAUAUCAUUGAACUUGAUGAGAUACGAAUUAUACGAAACUAAUUUCAACGAUCCAACCGUCAAACUUGUUUGUAUAUGCUUCAAGAUCGCAUACACCAAAAAUUGCGAAAAACAAACAUAUAGAGAUCAAGUAACGGGACAAAACCUUUCGAUGGUUAUAAAAAGAAAAAUCACGAUUUAACGGUUAUUUAAACUCCGAUUUUGAUAAUUUUUUACAGCUACACUCCUUGACCCUAUAUGAAUACAAUGAAUGAAUUCGAUCUUCAAUUUAAAAUAUUUACACUAGUGGAUAUCUUAUGUUAUACUUAAUGAAAGUAUGAAUAAACUCUUAAGUGUUAGUGAAUCUAUUGUUUUGAUAGGAUAUGCAUUCUACAAAACUAGUUUCAAUGAUCCAACCGUCAAACAUGUUUGUAUAUACUUUGAGAUCGCAUAUGCCAAAAAAUGCAAAAAACAAACAUUCAGAGAUUAAGUAACCGAACAAAACUUUUCGAUGGUUAUAAAACGAAAAAUCACGAUUUAACGGUUAUUUUAACUCCGAUUUCGAUGAUUUUUUACGGUUAUACUCCUUGACCCUAUAUGAAUACAAUGAAUGAAUUCGAUCUUCAAUUUAAAAUAUUUACACUAGUGGAUAUCUUAUGUUAUACUUAAUGAAAGUAUGAAUAAACUCUUAAAUGUUAGUGAAUCUAUUGUUUUGAUGGGAUACGCAUUCUACAAAACUAGUUUCAACAAUCCAACCGUCAAACAUGUUUGUAUAUACUUUGAGAUUGCAUACACAAAAAAUUGCAAAAAACAAACAUUCAGAGAUCAAGUAACGGGACAAAACCUUUCAACGGUUAUAAAAAGAAAAGUCACGAUUUAACGGUUAUUUUAACUCUGAUUUUGAUGAUUCUUUACAGCUACACUCCUUGACCCUAUAUGAAUACAAUGAAUGAAUUUGAUCUUCAAUUUAAAAUAUUUACACUUUAUGUUAUACUUAAUGAAAGUAUGAAUAAACUCUUUAAAUGUAAGUGAAUCUAUUGUUUUGAUGGGAUACACAUUCUACGAAACUAGUUUCAACGAUCCAACCGUCAAACAUGUUUGUAUUUACUUCGAGAUCUCAUACACCAAAAAUCACGAUUUAACGGUUAUUUUAACUCCGAUUUUGAUGAUUCUUUACAGCUACACUCCUUGACCCUAUAUGAAUACAAUGAAUGAAUUCGAUAUUCAAUUUAAAAUAUUUACACUAGUGGAUACCACAAAAUCUUAUGUUAUACUUAAUGAAAGUAUAAAUAAACUCGUAAGUGUUAGUGAAUAUAUUGUUUUGAUGGGAUACGCAUUCUACAAAACUAGUUUUAACGAUCCAACUGUCAAACAUGUUUGUAUAUACUUCGAGAUCGUAUACGCCAAAAAUUGCAAAAAAACAAACAUUCAAAGAUCAAGUAACGGGACAAAACUUUUUGACGGUUAUAAAAAGAAAAAUCACGAUUUAACGGUUAUUUUAACUCCGAUUUUGAUGAUUUUUUACAGCUACACUCCUUGACCCUAUAUAAAUAUGAUGAAUGAAUUCGAUCUUCAAUUUAAAAUAUUUACACUAGUGGAUACCACAAAAUCUUGUUAUACAUAAUAAAAGUAUGAAUAA
rnacentral:lncRNA from 1 species